CGGGGAUGACGUCAAGUCCUCAUGGCCCUUACAUCCCGGGCUACACACGUGCUACAAUGGCAGGUACAGAGGGCUGCGAAGCCGCGAGGUGGAGCGAAUCCCAGAAAACCUGUCUCAGUCCGGAUUGAAGUCUGCAACUCGACUUCAUGAAGGCGGAAUCGCUAGUAACCGCGAAUCAGCAGGUCGCGGUGAAUACCGGUUCCCGGGCCUU
rnacentral:rRNA from 1 species